UGGUGAGGUAACGGCUCACCAAGGCGACGAUGCGUAGCCGACCUGAGAGGGUGAUCGGCCACAUUGGAACUGAGACACGGUCCAGACUCCUACGGGAGGCAGCAGUGGGGAAUAUUGCACAAUGGGCGAAAGCCUGAUGCAGCAACGCCGCGUGAGUGAUGAAGGCUUUCGAGUCGUAAAGCUCUUUGAUCAGGGAUGAUAAUGACAGUACCUGAAAAACAAGCCACGGCUAACUACGUGCCAGCAGCCGCGGUAAUACGUAGGUGGCGAGCGUUGUCCGGAAUUACUGGGCGUAAAGGAUGCGUAGGUGGAUAUUUAAGUGGGAUGUGAAAUCCCCGGGCUCAACCCGGGAACUGCAUUCCAAACUGGAUAUCUAGAGUGCAGGAGAGGAAAGCGGAAUUCCUAGUGUAGCGGUGAAAUGCGCAGAUAUUAGGAGGAACACCAGUGGCGAAGGCGGCUUUCUGGACUGUAACUGACACUGAGGCAUGAAAGCGUGGGUAGCAAACAGGAUUAGAU
rnacentral:rRNA from 1 species